rnacentral:rRNA from 1 species
GAUGAACGCUGGCGGCGUGCUUUAACACAUGCAAGUCGAACGGAGUUACAUGAAACCUAGUGAUUGUAACUUAGUGGCGACGGGUGAGUAACGCGUGGGUAACCUGGCGUAUACAGGGGGGAUAACACCUUAGAAAUAGGUGCUAAUACCGCAUAAGCGCACGAAUUCGCAUGAAUUAGUGUGAAAAACUAAGGUGGUAUACGAUGGACCCGCGUCUGAUUAGCUAGUUGGUGAGGUAACGGCCACCAAGGCGACGAUCAGUAGCCGGCCUGAGAGGGUGAACGGCCACAUUGGGACUGAGACACGGCCCAAACUCCUACGGGAGGCAGCAGGUGGGGAAUAUUGGACAAUGGGGGAAACCCUGAUCCAGCGACGCCGCGUGAGUGAAGAAGUAUUUCGGUAUGUAAAGCUCUAUCAGCAGGGAAGAAAUUGACAGUACCUGACUAAGAAGCCCCGGCUAACUACGUG